rnacentral:rRNA from 1 species
UCCGUAGGUGAACCUGCGGAAGGAUCAUUACCGAGUGAGGGCCCUCUGGGUCCAACCUCCCACCCGUGUUUAUUUUACCUUGUUGCUUCGGCGGGCCCGCCUUAACUGGCCGCCGGGGGGCUUACGCCCCCGGGCCCGCGCCCGCCGAAGACACCCUCGAACUCUGUCUGAAGAUUGAAGUCUGAGUGAAAAUAUAAAUUAUUUAAAACUUUCAACAACGGAUCUCUUGGUUCCGGCAUCGAUGAAGAACGCAGCGAAAUGCGAUACGUAAUGUGAAUUGCAAAUUCAGUGAAUCAUCGAGUCUUUGAACGCACAUUGCGCCCCCUGGUAUUCCGGGGGGCAUGCCUGUCCGAGCGUCAUUGCUGCCCUCAAGCCCGGCUUGUGUGUUGGGCCCCGUCCCCCGAUCUCCGGGGGACGGGCCCGAAAGGCAGCGGCGGCACCGCGUCCGGUCCUCGAGCGUAUGGGGCUUUGUCACCCGCUCUGUAGGCCCGGCCGGCGCUUGCCGAUCAACCCAAAUUUUUAUCCAGGUUGACCUCGGAUCAGGUAGGGAUACCCGCUGAACUUAA